UGUAUCUGUGUUUUAAUUUAUAAAACCCAUCACGAAAAUAACUAAGUGUGCUCGAAACGUCUUCAUCUUCUAUAAUCGAUUUUUAGGGUUCAUGAUGUUCUUCAGUUUCUGAUUUCUUUCAGCGACCACGAAGUUUCGAAAGAGUUAUGGGAGAUGAAUAUUCACAUCCAAUCUCUGGUGCGAGCUGCCGUUCGCGUCGAUUCGUCUGGCUUUCUUCUCGCCGGCAAAGGGAAAUUGGAACCGUUACGGGCUCCAUUCAAUCGGUGUCAUUAACAGCCUUCUUAACUCCUUCUUCCAUGAUUCUUCAUUCAAUGCAUCCUUCACUAUCUUCCGUUCUCUGACUUUGCAUCUAUAAAGAGAAUGGCAAACUCCCACUCCUCCUUGCUGACUUGAAGGUCGAGCAAAACAGCACCACCGAAGGAGUUCUUCAGAUGCCGGAAAGCUUCUCCCUUUAAGCUUUUAUUCUUUGUUUACUUCCGAUCUAUAUUAAUGGAUUCUUGCGUUAUCUUUCGUAUUGAGGAUAAGAGCAGUGGUCUCUACAACCUCCAUCUUUAGCGUUCAAUCAUCAUCAUCAUCGGCAGCUCAUAAGGGAGAAAGAGAGAUACUUAGCAAAGCGAACGUUAAGGACUUUACCUUCAACGAUCUCAGACUCGCAACCAGAAAAUUAGGUCACUUUUUUCCCGUAAACAGAUCACUCUGUAACGAACGAUGAGUGGAAAAAGUAUUGUUUCUCCCGUUUUACAGUCCCAUUCCAUCUCAUUCCUUCUUCUCCAAGAAGACUACGGCGAGAUCUUCGGCUAUUAAUGGGAACGCCAAAGAGAAUCUUCAUACGGCCGUUUCCUCUUCCGUCUUCGGCUAAACGCAUCAUCGUGAGAUGACACGGCUCCGUGAAGCCGAACUCUGCGGUGAUCCCUGAAUGUAUCAAAUCAGAAGGAGGCAAAGUAGGUUUGGAUAAGAUCUUUGAUUCUCUAAGAGUUUCUCUAGCAAGUACGAGUUUGUUUUUUUUAAGUUUUUCACAAAGCAAAAGUUAGUGCUUUUUGAUUUGAUGCCUUCUGGUUCUGUAGUAGUUAUGAGAUCUGUUAAUUUGUUUGUAAUUUGUUGUGUAUAUGACAAUGGCUAUUGCCACUGAAGAUGUGAGGAGAGAAGUGAUGAUAUUGAAAAGUUUGUCUGGUCA